CUGGAAGCAACCACACAGGAUGAAGGAGGGAAUUGGAGGAGCAGAUCUUUUAAGGAAGAAGACAGAUUCUGUUUGUCAGGUUCCUCUGAGUGUGUGUAAGCCAGUCAGAGGAGAGAGAGAGAGAGAGAGAGAGAGAGGGAGGGAAAGGCAGAGAGAGAGAGAGGGGGAGAGGGGAUCUGUUGCAGGCAGGGGAAGGCGUGACCUGAAUGGAGAAUGCCAGCCAAUUCCAGAGACACACAGGGACCUCAGAACAAAGAUAAGGCAUCGCUGACACCACACCCGGGACGAGCUUGCAGACAAGUCAGGCCGGGGGGACCAGGCAGCCAGGAGCACCCAAGGCAGGAAAAUGAGGUGGCUCCUUCUCUCUCAUGCUCUGUGCUUCUCCUUGUUGAAGGCUUCGGCCCAUGUCGUGGAGCUUAACAAUAUGUUUGGCCAGAUCCAAUCUCCUGGUUAUCCAGACUCCUAUCCAAGUGAUUCAGAGGUAACGUGGAACAUUACUGUCCCAGAGGGAUUUCGGAUCAAGCUUUACUUCAUGCACUUCAACUUGGAAUCCUCCUACCUUUGUGAAUACGACUAUGUGAAGGUAGAAACUGAAGACCAGGUGCUGGCCACCUUCUGUGGCAAGGAGACCACGGACACAGAACAGACCCCUGGCCAGGAAGUGGUCUUCUCUCCGGGCUCCUUCAUGUCCAUCACUUUCCGGUCAGAUUUCUCCAAUGAGGAACGGUACACAGGCUUUGAUGCCCACUACAUGGCUGUGGAUGUGGACGAGUGCACAGAGCGGGAAGACGAGGAACUGUCCUGUGACCACUACUGCCACAACUACAUCGGCGGCUACUACUGCUCCUGCCGCUUCGGCUACAUCCUCCACACAGACAACAGGACAUGCCGAGUGGAGUGCAGUGACAACCUCUUCACCCAGAGGACUGGUGUGAUCACCAGCCCUGACUACCCCAGCCCUUACCCUAAGAGCUCCGAAUGUCUCUACACCAUUGAGCUAGAAGAGGGUUUCAUGGUCAGCCUGCAGUUUGAGGAUAUUUUCGACAUAGAGGACCAUCCUGAGGUAUCCUGCCCCUAUGACUACAUCAAGAUUAAAGCUGGUCCAAAACUUCUUGGGCCCUUCUGUGGAGAGAAAGCCCCGGAACCCAUCAAUACCCAGAGCCACAGUAUCCAGAUCCAGUUCCGCAGUGACAACUCAGGCGAGAACCGGGGCUGGAGGCUGUUGUACAGGGCGACAGGGAAUGAGUGCCCCAAGCUGCAGCCGCCUGUCCAUGGGAAAAUUGAGCCCUUGCAAGCCAAGUACUCCUUCAAAGACCAGGUGCUCAUCAGCUGUGACACUGGCUACAAAGUGCUGAAGGAUAAUGUGGAGAUGGAUGUAUUCCAGAUCGAGUGUCUGAAAGAUGGGACGUGGAGUAACAAGAUUCCCACCUGCAAAAAAACGGAAAUGGAUGUGGAGAGUGAACCUGAGGCAGAGCAAGUGGCAGAGUGAAUGACGGGGACCCCACACAGUGCAGACAUCCAGGAAUGGAUCACUCACAAGACCCCUGGGUCCUAGAGCUCCUCCAGCCCUCCCCACCUCGCCUACACUCCAUUGCUCAUUUCAGUGCGGAUUAGAAUGGAUGCUGAACAAGGCAACACAGUCUGAAGCGGUUGAAACUGCCACAUGUAUAAGAACAAUUCUCCUUUUGAUGGUUCACCCAUCGCUCAAACAUUAUGCUGGAAAAUAAUGAAAAGACAAUUUUUUUAAGCACUUCUAUGUGGACUAUACCCUUCUCAAAGGAAAAAUGGCUUUGGUUCUAGAGUAACAUUUAAUAUACAAUUGCAUGGUCUUAGGUGGGCCAGGUCAAAGUGGGCCCUGGUUUCUAAUCCAGUCCUUACUUCAAGAUUAUAUGGGCCAGAAUGCCUGUGACUUUAUGACUUUAAUAUUUUUACCCAUUGCUACUUUCUUACCAAUCACAAAUAGGUAAAACAACUCGUAUCGCACGGAUGUCUUAGGAAAGCUAGACAUAGUUUCAUGCCCCAAAGUUUCUCUUCCAUCUCUGCCUAACACAGAGCGGAAAUUCCAUCAUCAGAGAUCUUUCCACUAGGGCUUACAAAUUUGCCUUUCUGAAAAUUCCCUAAUUCAAGUUUUUCAGGAGAUAGGCAUCACACUUGAAAGCAGCAGUCCUCAGCUCUGGUGCUAUGGGAUGUCCAGUGGGUCAUUAAUAAUGAUAAAGAAAGGGCUGUGGAGACGGGGAGUCUCUGCUUCAGCCUGAACAAAAUCUGGGUGGACAUAUCAGAGAACCCCUGCAUUACACUGUGUCUUCUCAGUCUCUUUGGUGAUUAAAUGGCUUCUUGAUGAGGGCAGAAUUCUGCAAAGUCAAACAAUGAAAGGUCUGGAGACUGCAGGGCCAUCCUAGGUCAAGGGUGCCCUUGAGAAGAUAGGGCAACCACUAAAGAUAAGCAUCAAUUAAAUUAGUAUUUUAAGGCUACCAAGUAUAAAAGGUCUUGUUCUCAGUAGAUAGAUGAGAUUAUAGUUUAAGAUUUGAUAUGAACCCAAAUAAUUGCCAUACUAGGCAACAUAAGAUACAUGCAUCAGAGAGAGAUGAAUAAAGCAUCAUACAAGGAGAAAGGAGGAAGCAGCUCUAUCCAAUUAGAAGGAUGAGAAAAGGCUUUCAGGAAGUGGCAGUGUUUGAUCAAGGCCUGGAGGGUGGCCAGGGCAUGAACCACAGGGUUUCCCUUGUGGGGAAAACAGCAGCACGCUGAAGGGGGGGUGGUCAAAGGUAAGGCUGGGGUGGGGUGGGGCAUCCCUGGGCCCGAGGCCAGGUGAGCUGAUUGUGCAUGAUUCCCGAGGAAGCCCCUAGACUGUGUCAAAGCAUCCUCAGGAUGGCAGGUCAGGAUGGCAGGUCUUGGGAGUUUCCUGAUGGUCUAGUGUUUAAGACUUGGCAUUUUCACUAUGGUGGCCCAGGUACAGUCUCUGGUCUGGGAACUGAGAUCUUACAUCAAGUCACUGCAUGCUUCAGCCAAAGAAAGAAAGAAAAAGAGAGAGAGAGAGAGAAGGAAGGAAGGAAGGAAGGAAGAAAGAAAGGGUGACAGUGGAGACAGGGUGUGGGUGGCACAAUCUAGCUCAGAGAAUGAUGAAAAAAGGAGGGCAAAGAAAUGGGGAAAGGAAGAGCAUUUUGAUUUCAGAGUGUGGAAGUGGCCAGACACACUUUAGAGAAGAGGAUGAGACCCUUCCUUAAGCAAAGAAGAUAGACUGGAGGAAGCAGGGUCCGGAUCUAGCAUCUCGGAUUGUGCCAGGCCAAACUCAAAGGCCCCUCGAAAAGGAAAGUUGUCUCCAGGGCCCAGAGAGAUGCAGCUCUUUGCCUGCCACUGCAGACUUGGGAAGAAGGUGAAGCCUUCCCCACUCAACAUACGCAAGCUGAAGUGACCCUCUCUUUUCCACUGUCACCCCCUCUGUCUAGUUGUAAGCCCAGCUUUAUCAGUGGCAAAGUUAUUUCCCUGGUGUGAAGUGGAAGCAGGCCCUUGGUCCAGACAAUCUCUCUCCUCCAGUGCUGGCCAAGAAUAGGCUCUCAAUGCCCUGACCACUUAGCCAUGUCUAAGACUGACCCUGGAAUUCCUCCACCUAGAAUUAGGUAUUAGGUCUUGAGGAUAAUUUGGGCAAAAUAAACUGCUAGUCUGGAGUUAAGGGAGACAAGAGUAAUACAAAGAUUCAGCCACUGAUCAAUGGCAUUUCCUAAAAAAGGAAGAAAAGUCUGCUUUGAAACUCAGCAGAAACAUACAUUUUAAAUUGUUUAUAGCUUUGGAUAGUAAAUAUUAUUGCCCCCUCUUGUCAUAGUCUGACCUACAUGCUACUUUUGGGUGAUCAGAACAAAUAGAAAUGAUUUCUCCUGAGGGAUUGAGGCCAGGAAACAACACUAACCAGUUCUCCUGGCUUUUGCCUUCUUUGUGGAUAGGAGAUGUCUACCUAGUAGGCAUUUACUCCCAUCCUUCAUCCCUCUCUUCCACUCCAGAGGGCCUUGGAAUCAUUUCUGUUUCUAAGUUAGAUUACUCUCUAUUCAAUCAAAAAGAUGAUUUAGAGUCCUAAAGUUAAAAAUCACAAUGGCUAAGUAGCCUCUCGGGGUAAAUUGCCCCCACCUCUGUUUCCCAAGGAGAGCAGGUAAAAUUCAGGAAGAGGGAACUCUGGCUUUAAAAUAUAGUCCUCUGAAAUUAUCAGAACAUUGACAGCCAGUGUUCACCAUUACAUAGCUAAGAUUAAUCACAGGCCAUUUUCUAAAAAGCAGAUCCUUAAGAAUCAUCAGUCUGGUUUACUUAAAAGAACACUGAGUUUAAAGUCAAGUCUUAUUCUCAACUCACGGUGUGACCUUAGACUAGUCAAGUCUCCUCCCUGGGCUCAUCUGAAGGGAAAGAUGAUAUUCUAGAUUGCCUGACUUAAGGUUCUUUUCCACCUGUGAAGUUCUAUGAUUCCUGAGAAUUUUCAAUUCUGAUAGAGGCUGUUUGACCUAAAAUUAACAUUACCUGAGAAAUGUGCACCAUCCCCUAAUGAAGUCCCUUGAAGAAACCUUGACAGAUUGGGUCUUCAGCCUAUGACCUGGCUCUUGGCAGACUCUUACUUGCAGCUUCCCUAAGACCUGGCUUGAUUGGAAAGCUCUCCUAAGACCACCUGUGAGCAGUAGGCAUCUUCGGUCUUGCCCUAUAGCCACCCUCAACAUCCAGCCACCAACAACUGGAGGAAUUGAGCAGGUGAAGACUAAAAGUUGGUCCACUCUGGCCCUCCUCCUGCCUCUGUGUCUGCAAAGAGCCAGCAGGGUGGGGCUGUGUACUCUUGCAGGAGCUGGGUUUCUUUUGGUUUGUUUUGGGUUUUUUACACCAAGAUCCGAUGUGAGCACAAUAACUGUUCUUACUCAGCAUGUGGUCGGGGCUGGAAGCACUGAAGAUUCUUUGGUUCAUGUCAGCCAGAAUUUUCUCACUGAGCCAUGGGCUUCAUGCUUGGGCAGAAGAGGAUAAGAGGAUUGCACAAUAGAACUGAGAGUCAAGGAGAGGGCCCUGGUGGGAGAAAGACUGGGAUCUGCUUGAAUCUCAGUAGACCUGCUUCUGCCCUGGAAUUGACACCAGGCCAGUUGCGGACUGUGGCACUCCGGCAAAGCUGGAAAAUGGGCUGGUCACCUUUUCUACCAGGAACAACCUUACCACAUACAAAUCUGAAAUCAUAUACUCCUGCCAGCAGCCCUACUACAAGAUGCUGCACAGUACCACAGGUGUAUAUACGUGUUCUGCCCAAGGAGUCUGGAUGAAUGAAGUCCUGGGGAAAAGCCAGCCCACCUGCCUACCAGUGUGUGGUCAGCCCUCCCGCUCCCUGCCGAACCUGGUCAAGCGGAUCAUCGGAGGCCGGAACGCUGAGCCCGGCCUCUUUCCAUGGCAGGCCCUGAUCGUGGUGGAGGACACGUCGAGGGUGCCCAACGACAAGUGGUUUGGGAGCGGGGCCUUGCUCUCUGAGUCCUGGAUCCUCACGGCAGCCCACGUGCUGCGCUCACAGCGCAGAGACAACACGGUGACGCCAGUCUCCAAGGAGCAUGUCACCGUCUACCUGGGCCUGCAUGACGUGCGCGACAAAUCCGGGGCUGUCAACAGCUCAGCUGCCCGAGUGGUGCUCCACCCUGACUUUGACAUCCAGAACUACAACCAUGACAUUGCUCUAGUGCAGCUGCAGGAGCCGGUGCCCCUGGGGCCGCACGUCAUGCCCGUCUGCCUGCCGAGGCCUGAGCCCGAAGGCCCGGCGCCCCACAUGCUGGGGCUGGUAGCUGGCUGGGGCAUCUCCAAUCCUAAUGUGACAGUGGAUGAGAUCAUCAGCAGCGGCACGCGGACCUUGUCAGAUGUCCUGCAGUAUGUCAAGUUACCCGUGGUGCCGCACGCCGAGUGCAAGACCAGCUACGAGUCCCGGUCAGGCAACUACAGCGUCACAGAGAACAUGUUCUGUGCCGGCUACUAUGAGGGCGGCAAGGACACGUGCCUAGGAGACAGCGGCGGGGCCUUUGUCAUCCUUGACGACCUGAGCCAACGCUGGGUGGCUCAAGGCCUGGUGUCCUGGGGGGGCCCUGAAGAAUGUGGCAGUAAGCAGGUGUAUGGGGUCUACACCAAAGUCUCCAACUACGUGGACUGGGUGUGGGAGCAGAUGGGCUCCCCUCCAGGCCUGGGGGAGCUCCAGGUGGAGCGGUGAGCCCUGACUUCCUUGGCCUCCAGCCCACCCAGCCCCUGCAAGGCUGCAUCAUACACUCCUGAGGAUGGCAUACUCCAUGUUACUCAUGAGACCAAAUGGGAUGGAACACGCUGCUUCCACCCUCCCAAGACAACCCCUGGGAGGCAGCAGAGUGGUAUGGGAAAAAGGAUCUAUUCAGGAGACCUGGGUCCCUGGCCCUGGGCUGGUCCCUUCCCCUCCUGGGGCCUCACUCUCCCAGGAGCACAGCAACUCUUGGCCAACUCCCACUCCUCUCCUGGAGUGCCUACCCCAGGGGCCUCCUUCACUCCUUGCCGUUUGUCAAACCCAUUGGUCCUACUAUUGGCGUAACUGAGCUUACUGUUAGAAAAUGUUUUCUAACCUAGAGCUGAGUCCAUGUAUUUUUUCCAAUUCUACCCUCUGGGUACUUUCUAAGACCCUUUUUCUAGCAGAAACCACUCAGGUGUGGGGAGACAGGGAUUCCACUCCAGAGGACCCUCUCUCUGAGUGUGAUGCCCUGCAGGACUUUUGUCCCUGGAUUUUUCUUCCAAAAGUUUCUUGUGAUCCAAGCUGUAUCCCUUCAGAAUUUAAAGGAAUUUAAAGGAACUUCAAAGGACAAAGAGAAAGCUGGGAAGUUCUGUGUUGACUGAGGGGAGGAGAAGAGCAGUGACAGUCUUCCCAACCCUGUUAAAUCCCUACCAUCAACUGAGAAUGCAUCAUUUGGAUCCAUCUAACACUCUCAAGUUCCAGCUGAUAACAUGGGGUGUCCUGACAAGCAUGAAGCAACCUUCCAGCCUUGAAGUGUGAUAUCUGAAUAGGCUCCCUGGGCCCUAGCCCCAGGUGGGGGCUCAAAUGGAUUGUUUGGAGAAAGAGAAGUCUCACAGCUGCCCCUCUAUGCCUCUGGGAAGGGAAAUAGAAGAAGGGUGAGCUCAGGACAUUGGUGUGACCAUGUUCCACCAGAUUGCCCACCGUGCCUGCAGCCUGAACUCCACAGGGAAUCAACCCAGCAUGGAUGUUCAGAGGGAUCCACUCCUCCAGUUUCCAUGAGCCAGAGUCAAGGAAAGCAGAGACUUGAUGGUGAAAGGCAGUGAGAAGGGACGGAGAGCCCAGAGUACUGGGUUAUAGCCCCAGCUCUGCCCCCAACUGGCUGUGUAACAUUUGACAAAUGACUUUCCCUCUCUGGGCCUCAGUUUCCCCAUCUGUAAAAGAAAGGCAUCAGAUCCCCCUCAGGGUCCUUCCAGCCCCAGCGUUCAGUGCUUCCAUUGCUAGCAGCCUCUCCCUGGCGCUCACAGGGCUCAUUGUCCUCCUUCUCCCAGGCUCCCUCUCCUGGGGACUCUCCACCAGAAAAAGGCACCCAGAGAAGCCCUGAGAGGGAUUCCAAGGGAGCAACUGGGAAGUGUCCAUCUUGCCAGUUGGAUCCUGAAAGCACACUCCUAUGUCUCUCAACAGUGCAUGUAGAGGAUACUAUAUUUUGUAUAUUUUAUAUCACAAGCUUCACUCCUCUGUAAGGGGCCUCUUCACUCUGUUUCUCCUGUCAGGGGACUAAAGUGGAAAUAAACCCUCUGUGGAUAACCAACA